ACCCUUAAAUGACUCUGAAUUAGUCAGUUAUAUUCUUGCGGGUCUCAAUUUUGAAUAUGAUCUGCUUAUCACUUCUCUUACCACUCGUAUUGAUCCCAUGCCUCUUCAAGAAGUAUAAGGCCAUCUUCUGACAUAUGAGC